rnacentral:rRNA from 1 species
GAUGAACGCUGGCGGCGUACUUAACACAUGCAAGUCGAACGAAGCACCUUGAUUUGAUUCUUCGGAUGAAGAUCUUGGUGACUGAGUGGCGGACGGGUGAGUAACGCGUGGGUAACCUGCCUCAUACAGGGGGAUAACAGUUAGAAAUGACUGCUAAUACCACAUAAGACCACAGCACCGCAUGGUGCAGGGGUAAAAACUCCGGUGGUAUGAGAUGGACCCGCGUCUGAUUAGGUAGUUGGUGGGGUAACGGCCUACCAAGCCGACGAUCAGUAGCCGACCUGAGAGGGUGACCGGCCACAUUGGGACUGAGACACGGCCCAAACUCCUACGGGAGGCAGCAGUGGGGAAUAUUGCACAAUGGGGGAAACCCUGAUGCAGCGACGCCGCGUGAGCGAUGAAGUAUUUCGGUAUGUAAAGCUCUAUCAGCAGGGAAGAAAAUGACGGUACCUGACUAAGAAGCACCGGCUAAAUACGUG